AAGGAAAUAAACGAAGAAAAAUGCAUGGCCAUGUCUUGAAUCUUGAAGCUGUGUCCCAAUUUCAAGGUCUGUGUUGCCGUUUGCUUAAACUUGUUUGAAAUGUGAUCAGGUACAAUGAAUCGGGUAAGCUGCAUCUGUAUUCAAGUUUGCCGGAAUGACGUGAAUUCAGCGACAAGUUUCUUCAGGAUUCAGUAACAUUACACCUGGAAAGUGCAAAAGCAGAAUUAUUUUGCUGUCAAAGGAAAACUCUUCUAUAGCUGACAGGAGGAAGCACUCUCUCUGGGCCAUUUUUCUCGCGGAUGUGUAGCCGGAAAGUCCCGGGUCGAGUGGAGCCUCUGCAUCAACCGCCUCAUGAUUUCUUGACUUGUCUAACGAAUUACUUCUAUGUUGUUAUUGUUUUCUAGUCUUGUCAUGACCCCUUAAACUGAUGUUUUUGUGGGGGUCCUCAUGACCCCUCAACUGACACAACAAUUCAGUGGCCGGUUUCCCGCAAGAAUAACAAUCGCCGCGAAGGCACGGUAGGAUCGUGUUUCGAACCAUUGCUGUGGUGUACGAGACAAAUUCGGAACGUUGAGUUGAAAUAGAGAACAUGCAAGUUUAAAUUCCAUGCCAAGGCCACAUUGAUAGGAUGUUCACUUGAGAUUAGUUAUCUUGCGGCGAGAAUAUAAUUGGCUUCAACA